AGAAAAUAAGGGGAAAUCGGGUAAAAAUUAUGGGUUUGCUACGUUAAAAGCUAUGGGUUUACUCCGUCCCCAUCAGGUAAAAGUUGCACAUCUAUGGUAGAAGAAAAUAAGGGAGAUAGAAGAAAAGUAAAAAUUUCCGACUGAAAUUGUCGGUCUUUCCCCGGUCCGGCGAGCUUUCACCGGUGAUAUAGGGAGGUGGUUGACGCUGGUUCACGUGAAGGGCGACGACGUGAAGCCGAAGGGUCUUUUGGUCUCUGCUGGCGGACAGCCAUGGUAGAGUAGCUGGUCGUUUGGACAGCAGACCGGUGGUUGUCGGAGGUUGUUGCUGUGGUGUGAUGAUGGACUAAAGGUGUUGUAGGGGCGACGGCUGGUUUGAGGGGACGUUGGCUUAGGGUUUUCAGUUGUUUUUGUUCACCUCCUUGAAGAAGAAGGGGAACAGUAGCUCUCAAAAUCUGUUCGUGUCCGUUUGGUUGAGUCCCUUCUGACGUGUAACAUUACGAUUGGGUCAGUGCUGACCGGAUGGACACGUUAGUGAAUGUGUAAUACACGCGCGGAUAGUCAAGGGUCAAACGUGUUUAUUAGUUAUGAGUUUCACGAGUUUAAGUGUUUAAAU
rnacentral:lncRNA from 1 species